AGGGGGUUAGCUUAAAAUAAAGCAAGGUACUGAAGCUGCUUGAGACGGGCUAGAACCCACCCCCUA
rnacentral:tRNA from 1 species